CCAUGCCGCGUGUCUGAAGAAGGCCUUCGGGUUGUAAGGACUUUUGUCAGGGAGCAAAACUUACUGGUUAAUACCUGGUGAGGUUGAGAGUACCUGAAGAAUAAGCACCGGCUAACUACGUGCCAGCAGCCGCGGUAAUACGUAGGGUGCAAGCGUUAAUCGGAAUUACUGGGCGUAAAGCGUGCGCAGGCGGACUUUUAAGCCAGAUGUGAAAGCCCCGAGCUUAACUUGGGAAUUGCGUUUGGAACUGGGAGUCUAGAGUCUGUCAGAGGGGGAUGGAAUUCCACGUGUAGCAGUGAAAUGCGUAGAGAUGUGGAGGAACACCGAUGGCGAAGGCAGUCCCCUGGGAUAAGACUGACGCUCAUGCACGAAAGCGUGGGGAGCAAACAGGAUUAGAUACCCUGGUAGUCCACGCCCUAAACGAUGUCUACUAGUUGUUGGGGUAGCAAUACCUCAGUGACGCAGCUAACGCGUGAAGUAGACCGCCUGGGGAGUACGGUCGCAAGAUUAAAACUCAAAGGAAUUGACGGGGGG
rnacentral:rRNA from 1 species